AUGGCUCUGUGCUAUCCCAUGGCCAUAGGACUCAAUAGGGCCACAAGGUGACCAAGAGCAUAAGCCAAGGCACAGCUGCCACUGCAGACACCUCACCAAGCACUCAGAAUUCAAGUGAGACAUGAUCCAAGGAGCAUGCAGCUUCAUCCUAUAAGAGUGACACAUCAUGGAGCUCAAGGUCUCCAAGGACAAGAGUACUGCCAGGUUCACCAAGAAAAGGGUGGGGACACAUAGCCAUGCCAAGCGGAGGUGAGAGGAGCUGAACAACGUCCUGGUCACCAUGAGGAAAGCGGCUACCAGGAUACACUGA
rnacentral:lncRNA from 1 species